rnacentral:rRNA from 1 species
UUGUCGACGGGUGAGUAUGCAUAGGAAUCUACCUAGUAGUAUGGGAUAGCCACUAGAAAUGGUGGGUAAUACUGUAUAAUCCCUGCGGGGGAAAGAUUUAUCGCUAUUAGAUGAGCCUAUGUUAGAUUAGCUAGUUGGUAGGGUAAAGGCCUACCAAGGCAGUGAUCUAUAGCUGGUCUGAGAGGAUGAUCAGCCACACUGGAACUGAGAUACGGUCCAGACUCCUACGGGAGGCAGCAGUGGGGAAUAUUGGACAAUGGGCGCAAGCCUGAUCCAGCUAUGCCGCGUGAGUGAGGAAGGCCUUAGGGUUGUAAAACUCUUUCAGUGGGGAAGAUAAUGACGGUACCCACAGAAGAAGUCCGGGGCAAACUCAAA